GCGCACAGGCCGGUUCUAUAAGUGGACCGGCACUGUAGCAGGUUUGGCUAUGACAGGCUAUAUCUGGCAUCGUUGGAGGCUACAAGACAAUUUUCUGAGUGGAAGCCCUGUCCAACACCCAUAUACUGACAAGAGUACUGGAAGUGCUGGAUCGAAUAAAAGCAACAGUGGAAGCAAUCGUAAGUGAGCCACUAUUUUGGACAAGCUGCUACAGAACUUAGCCAGAUAAUUUACCAUGAUGAGAAAGCGUUGAAUGUCAUGUUUACACUCAAGACGUUUAAACGACAUAAUCACUGAAAUCUUUUCCGGAUCCGGUUUAAGAGUUUAAUUCCCAAUGAUUUGUCCAAUAUAUCUUAGUUCCGGCUGAAAGAACUUGCACUUUUUCUUGUUGAGUCUUAAAUUCACUUUAAUACAGUGCUUUAAAAAGCUUCCAA